rnacentral:rRNA from 1 species
UACGUAGGGUGCGAGCGUUGUCCGGAAUUAUUGGGCGUAAAGAGCUCGUAGGCGGUGUGUCACGUCGGCCGUGAAAACCUGCAGCUUAACUGUGGGCGUGCGGUCGAUACGGGCAUCACUGGAGUUCGGCAGGGGAGACUGGAAUUCCUGGUGUAGCGGUGAAAUGCGCAGAUAUCUGGAGGAACACCGGUGGCGAAAGCGGCUCACUGGACCCGAUCUGACACUGAUGUGCGAAAGCUAGGGUAGCAAACGGG